UUAUUGACAUGUAAAUAAGUAAUGAUUAUACAUCAAACUGAGAGUAUACAGCAAAAGACUCAAGUGAAAACAGAGUAAUCACACCAUACAAGAUGAAUAACAGAGUAAUCUCAUCAUAUAUGAUGUGAAACAGAGUAAUCACACCAAAUAGGAUGUGAAACAGAGUAAUAUAGUAUGUGAAACAGAGCAAUAUAGGAUGCAAAACAGAGUAAUCAUACCAUAUAAGAAAGCUACAUUCAGUCUAAUUAGAACCACAACUUAAAACAUCUUAAAGCAAAAACCUUUUGCUAAUUGUAAACACAAAUGAUCAAAAAUCUUAUGAAAAUUUUGAAACUUUUCUAUUAAAAAUGUGAACUUAUGUCAUGUAAACAA